UUGGAGGGCAAGUCUGGUGCCAGCAGCCGCGGUAACUCCAGCUCCAAUAGCGUAUAUUAAAGUUGUUGCAGUUAAAAAGCUCGUAGUUGAACUUCGGGGUUUACCCAUUGGUCAGGUUUAAUUGUCUGCACUGGUGAGAUGAAUCUCUACCUUCUGAGGAACUUUCAUGCCAUUUAUUUGGUGUGAUGGGAAAUCAGGACUGUUACUUUGAAAAAAUUAGAGUGUUUAAAGCAGGCUAACGUCUGAAUACAUUAGCAUGGAAUAAUGAAAUAGGACGGACUGAUUCUAUUUCGUUGGUUUCUAGGAUCACCGUAAUGAUUAAUAGGGAUAGUUGGGGGCAUUAGUAUUCAAUUGUCAGAGGUGAAAUUCUUGGAUUUAUUGAAGACUAACUACUGCGAAAGCAUUUGCCAAGGAUGUUUUCAUUAAUCAAGAACGAAAGUUAGGGGAUCGAAGACGAUCAGAUACCGUCGUAGUCUUAACCAUAAACUAUGCCGACUAGGGAUCGGACGAAGUUAAUUUUAUAAUGACGCGUUCGGCACCUUACGGGAAACCAAAGUGUUUGGGUUC
rnacentral:rRNA from 1 species